rnacentral:tRNA from 1 species
UUAANUUCCAAUUAACUAGUUUUGACAACAUUCAAAAAAGAGUA